rnacentral:lncRNA from 1 species
GAGAAUGCAGAUUUAUACUCGUACAUGUCUACUCACACAAACAGCAUCAAAAUUGCUGAACUUUUCCAUGUGAUCUAAGAGUUUACAUACAAAAGCAUUGACUAAUCAAAUUAUCACCAUGUAAAUUAAGAAUAUAUUAUCCAGGAGAAGAGGAACCAGGAACCAGUACAUCUUCACCUCACUUUUACCCCCAAAAAAACCCACCAAAUCCUAUACACAAAAACAACAUAAAUAAGACCAUGGCAACACUACCAGUCUUACCAGCAGGACGGAUUUUUUUCUCAAAACAUCAAAGCCAAGGAACCAAAAAACAUUGCGACACAAAGAGCAGGAGCAACCUGUCAGAUUCUUAGGACAAAAUUACACACUGAGCAAGGAUCAAAAUACUAAACAUGAGGACGGGGCAUCGACCCGUUGGCUGGGCAGCUGGGGUAGCUGCCAGCCCACCCGAGUUCAAGCCCGGCUUGGACACGCAGUGCUCGCGGAGUUUCUCCUAUAAAAAAAUGCCAACAAGGGUUAGCCUUUGGGUUGGUCUCAUUUAAAAAAAAAAAUACUAAACAUGGAGGAAGGAUCCAAACUAACCAUUCCAACGAUUCAAAAUGUCGCAAUUACUUCUAAUGCUAGAAUGGAUCCC